UACGGAGGGGGCAAGCGUUGUUCGGAAUUACUGGGCGUAAAGGGCGCGUAGGCGGCCCGCUAAGUCGAACGUGAAAUCCCCGAGCUCAACUCGGGAACUGCGUCCGAUACUGGCGGGCUUGAAUCCGGGAGAGGGAUGCGGAAUUCCAGGUGUAGCGGUGAAAUGCGUAGAUAUCUGGAGGAACACCGGUGGCGAAGGCGGCAUCCUGGACCGGCAUUGACGCUGAGGCGCGAAAGCUAGGGGAGCAAACGGG
rnacentral:rRNA from 1 species